ACGGAAGGCAGCAGUGGGGAAUAUUGCACAAUGGGGGAAACCCUGAUGCAGCGACGCCGCGUGAGUGAUGAAGUAUUUCGGUAUGUAAAGCUCUAUCAGCAGGGAAGAUAAUGACGGUACCUGACUAAGAAGCACCGGCUAAAUACGUGCCAGCAGCCGCGGUAAUACGUAUGGUGCAAGCGUUAUCCGGAUUUACUGGGUGUAAAGGGUGCGUAGGUGGUAUGGCAAGUCAGAAGUGAAAACACGGGGCUCAACCCCGUGACUGCUUUUGAAACUGUCAAGCUUGAGUACAGGAGAGGAAAGCGGAAUUCCUAGUGUAGCGGUGAAAUGCGUAGAUAUUAGGAGGAACACCAGUGGCGAAGGCGGCUUUCUGGACUGUAACUGACACUGAGGCACGAAAGCGUGGGGAGCAAACAGGAUUAGAUACCCUGGUA
rnacentral:rRNA from 1 species